GUCGAAAAAAUGUGCUCACUAGCGCCCCCUACAGUUUUCAAAAACCCCUCCCCAUAGGGGUUAUUUUGAGCUACAUGCGUGAAAAAUUUUAUGCAUAUUCAGGACAUCAGGACGCACAAAAAAGCCUCUUGCACCCAUAUCCCAAACUCAACAGGAAGAGCGCCACCUAGCUUUGAACAUAAAAAACGCAGCCAAAAUAAGGGUGCAUACUUUUGAGAGCUGCUGCAAGAGUUUUUCUCCCAUUCAGUCCAAACUGUGGGCGUGGCAAGUGUUGAGGCGGGGCAUCAAAAUGCAAAUGAGAAACAAGCCCUGCAGAACUCAUUUAAACAGCAAGAAAGGAGAUCCAGCAGCAAAAAUCUGUUGUGAUGAGUCAAGCUUCACAUCUGGAAAUUAAGGACAACACCAUCCAGGAGUUACUGGACUAAACAAAAUGGGGGAAACUAAAAUGCUUGUCCAAGCAUUUGCUGAAGGAAUGGAUGCAGACUGGAUAAAUGACCAAGAAGGACAAGCAGGUCCAUCUGACAGUGCACAUGCUCACUCACCAGGAGGCCACCUGAUCAGAUGCCAGCACCUUGCUGAUGAACCACUUCCCAGAUCAAAAUGUACAAAUACUGUUGUGUAUAAGCUGUUUCUUAAUUGUUGGUAAUAUAUUAUUUCUUGGACAUGUUAAUUACUGUUAUUAAUGUGUUAUAUUGUUUUUUUGGGCUACAUUUUUUAUAUAUAUAUUUAAAAUGCUCUUAUUUGUAUUUCCUUUGAGUUCUAUUUAAAAUUGGUAAUAAAUGUCUGCUUUC